rnacentral:lncRNA from 1 species
CUGUGUAGUUGAGAAAGCAGAUGGAAAGGUACAAGCCAUCUCAUCAGUAGUUUCCACUGUCAUUCUCUCAGGCAGAGCUACACAAGUGAAAGUGAAGAUAGCCUUGAUGAAAAAAAAGGAAUUGUUAAUAAUUGACCCCUUGUGUGAUGAGAUCAGAUAUGAAAGAACAUGCCUGAGGAAUUGGAGGUGAUUUAUUAGAUACUUACUUUCACAGUGGACACUAACUGUUCCAUUGAAAUUGUUUUUAAAGGGAAUGUUACAAUAAUGAGAAUAAUGUCUUCCUGUUAGCUACAAAUAAACAUUGAAACAGCAUGUACUUGUACUGAAUG